AACUCCCUGGCCCUGCUGGUUGAACCAACUGCAACCAAACCUGUGUCGUGGCAAGACGUGCGAAUUCUUCAGUCCCUCAUGUGCCAAGGAGAGCAUAGGCGAGCCCUCAGAUACACGCAGGUGCAUGGCGGAGGCUUGGGCUCUGCUGCAGGAGCACACCACUCAGUUAAAGGAGGAAGAGCUAUUAAAAGACAUGUAUGACAUCUGUCGGGAGAUGGGACUAGUGGAAGACUUUCUGAGGCUGCCUUUCACAGACUCUGAACAAAAGUGUUUGGAGAAAUUUUUACGGAUUCAUGAGAUUCUUUUAGUCCAGCAUCUGCAGCGUGCCAACUGUACGGCAGCCCCACAGCUGAACCAGGCGAUGAACGUUCAUCUCAUGAACGACUGUGCUCCUCACUGGAGACAGAGAGCAGUUGCCAGAAAUUCUCUCUCAGCCCAGCAUGGCAAGACCCUUCCUAGAGGUCAGAGGCAGCUGGCUGUAGAGAGAGCCAAGCCUUACCAUCUGCCUUCGUCCGGACCAAGA